AUGAUUAUGCAACGUUGUUAUAAAUAGAUUUCGGGGAAGUAAGAGAACGGGGAUACGGCAUCGGAUAUACCUCAAAGGAUAAUCGUGCGAGAAUUCCGAAUCUAAGAAAAACACACUUUAAGGUUUUAAAUUCUUCUUUGUAUAAGCAUCUACCAUUAUGGAUGAUGUUCUCCCUGUGGACACGGCGAACUCGCCAACUUCAACAAGGGAGGAUGCACUGCUGCAAACCAAGGCUGUGAAAGGAGGUGAGGCAUUCCUAUUGCCAAAAACCGAAGAAAACUCUAACCACAACAGGCAUUUAAAGGAUGUAAGUAAGAAAGAAAUGGCAUGCCCAUCGCCACUACCAAAGGAAACAAACUCAGGCGGCAGACGAUUAAAGGGUGUGCGUAAGGGAAAUAUGACAUUCCCAUCGCCACAACCUCACCAACAACCAAAGAAAACGGAAACGACAGGCAUUUAAAGACGAUGUAUGGGAGAUGAAGAUUCCCUUUAAACGCCGCCCAAUAGAAGAAAUAAACUCAAACAAAAACAGCAGACGUUUUGAAGCGAAUAAAUACAAUAUUUUAGUGUAAUGACUAUAUUCAGGCUGCGUUUACUAAAAGGUCCUGUAAACACCCCGUGGGUCAUUUUUUGGAUAUAAUAAAAAAAUCUGGCGUAGAA